rnacentral:rRNA from 1 species
UGAGUAAUGUCUGGGAAACUGCCUGAUGGAGGUGGGAUAACUACUGGAAACGGUAGCUAAUACCGCAUAGCGUCGCAAGACCAAAGAGGGGGACCUUCGGGCCUCUUGCCAUCGGAUGUGCCCAGAUGGGAUUAGCUAGUAGGUGGGGUAACGGCUCACCUAGGCGACGAUCCCUAGCUGGUCUGAGAGGAUGACCAGCCACACUGGAACUGAGACACGGUCCAG